rnacentral:rRNA from 1 species
CAGUCGCCGCGGGAACACAGAGGGUGCGAGCGUUAAUCGGAUUUACUGGGCGUAAAGCGUGCGUAGGCGGCUAAUUGAGUCGGAUGUGAAAUCCCCGAGCUUAACUUGGGAAUUGCAUUCGAUACUGGUUAGCUAGAGUGUGGGAGAGGAUGGUAGAAUUCCAGGUGUAGCGGUGAAAUGCGUAGAGAUCUGGAGGAAUACCGAUGGCGAAGGCAGCCAUCUGGCCUAACACUGACGCUGAGGUACGAAAGCAUGGGGAGCAAACAGGAUUAGAUACCCGGGUAGUCCCUGUCUCUUAUAC